rnacentral:rRNA from 2 species
GAUGAACGCUGGCGGUAUGCUUAACACAUGCAAGUCGAACGGUCUCUUCGGAGAUAGUGGCGGACGGGUGAGUAACGCGUGAGAACAUGCCUUUAGAUUGGGGACAACAGUUGGAAACGACUGCUAAUACCGAAUGUGCCUUAGGGUGAAAGAUUUAUUGUCUAGAGAUUGGCUCGCGUCAGAUUAGCUAGUUGGAGUGGUAACGGCACACCAAGGCGACGAUCUGUACUUGGUCUGAGAGGAUGACCAGGCACACUGGAACUGAGACACGGUCCAGACUCCUACGGGAGGCAGCAGUGGGGAAUUUUCCGCAAUGGGCGAAAGCCUGACGGAGCAAUACCGCGUGAGGGAGGACGGCUUUUGGGUUGUAAACCUCUUUUAUCAGGGAAGAAUCGAUGACGGUACCUGAUGAAUCAGCAUCGGCUAACUCCGUGCCAGCAGCCGCGGUAAUACGGAGGAUGCAAGCGUUAUCCGGAAUUAUUGGGCGUAAAGCGUCCGUAGGUGGUUUAUCAAGUCUGCUGUCAAAGCGUGCGGCUUAACCGCAUAAGGGCAGUGGAAACUGAUGAACUAGAGUGCGAUAGGGGUAACAGGAAUUCCCAGUGUAGCGGUGAAAUGCGUAGAUAUUGGGAAGAACACCAGCGGCGAAAGCGUGUUACUGGGUCUGCACUGACACUGAGGGACGAAAGCUAGGGGAGCGAAAGGGAUUAGAUACCCCUGUAGUCCUAGCCGUAAACGAUGACAACUAGGCGUGGUUCGUAUCGACCCGAGCCGUGCCGUAGCCAACGCGUUAAGUUGUCCGCCUGGGGAGUACGCACGCAAGUGUGAAACUCAAAGGAAUUGACGGGGGCCCGCACAAGCGGUGGAGUAUGUGGUUUAAUUCGAUGCAACGCGAAGAACCUUACCAAGGCUUGACAUCCUCGGAACCCUGAUGAAAGUUAGGGGUGCCUUCGGGAGCCGAGAGACAGGUGGUGCAUGGCUGUCGUCAGCUCGUGUCGUGAGAUGUUGGGUUAAGUCCCGCAACGAGCGCAACCCACGUUUUUAGUUGCCAGCAUUCAGUUGGGCACUCUAGAGAGACUGCCGGUGACAAACCGGAGGAAGGUGUGGAUGACGUCAAGUCAGCAUGCCCCAUACGCCUUGGGCUACACACGUACUACAAUGCGUCGGACAAAGAGCAGCCAGCCAGCGAUGGUGAGCCAAUCUCAUAAACCGGCGCUCAGUUCAGAUUGCAGGCUGCAACUCGCCUGCAUGAAGGCGGAAUCGCUAGUAAUCGCAGGUCAGCAUACUGCGGUGAAUACGUUCCCGGGCCUUGUACACACCGCCCGUCACACCAUGGGAGUUGGUCACGCCCGAAGUCGUUACUCUAACUGCUUGCAGAGGAGGACGCCGAAGGUGGGGCUGAUGACUGGGGUGAAGUCGUAACAAGGUAGCCGUACCGGAAGGUGUGGCUGGAUCACCUCCUU